AUUGAACGCUGGCGGCAGGCUUAACACAUGCAAGUCGAGCGGGGAAGGGUAGCUUGCUACCUGACCUAGCGGCGGACGGGUGAGUAAUGCUUAGGAAUCUGCCUAUUAGUGGGGGACAACAUUCCGAAAGGAAUGCUAAUACCGCAUACGCCCUACGGGGGAAAGCAGGGGAUCUUCGGACCUUGCGCUAAUAGAUGAGCCUAAGUCAGAUUAGCUAGUUGGUGGGGUAAAGGCCUUCCAAGGCGACGAUCUGUAGCGGGUCUGAGAGGAUGAUCCGCCACACUGGGACUGAGACACGGCCCAGACUCCUACGGGAGGCAGCAGUGGGGAAUAUUGGACAAUGGGCGAAAGCCUGAUCCAGCCAUGCCGCGUGUGUGAAGAAGGCCUUUUGGUUGUAAAGCACUUUAAGCGAGGAGGAGGCUACUUGGAUUAAUACUCUAGGAUAGUGGACGUUACUCGCAGAAUAAGCACCGGCUAACUCUGUGCCAGCCGCCGCCGCGGUAA
rnacentral:rRNA from 1 species